UUUCUCUGGAAGCUUUCGACUCCUCAGUGGGCAGCAGGCGGAGACGACCCCAGGGCGGGUUCUCGCAGGCCAGAGCUGCCCUGCCCUCAUGUCUCCUCCCACCUUGCUCCUUGCCCUGAAACCAGGCUGGGCGGACAUCCCACCCAGUCUGUCCCUGCCUCUCUCCCCUCCCUCGCUGUUAGAACAUGCAUUGCUUUAGAACCCUGGGGUCUGCCCUCGCCCCAUCUGCCUGGCAUCCUGCCCCCUCCACCCCCCACCCCCCACCCGGCUCUGAAAGGAGGCCUUAGGUUCUGGGGUCCUCACUAUAUAGGCCUCUGCAGGCCUUGGAGGCCGGGACCCCGCCCCCAGCGCCCCGCCCCCAGCGCCGAGGUCCCCUUAAGGGCGCAGAAACAAAACGCGGAAGUGCAGGGCCCUCUCCCCCCACCCCCGGAACGACAGGAGGAGGGGCGACCCCAGCCGGUGCCAGCUGAAACCGGCCGGUUUCCUGCCCCCACACCCUCAGCAGGAGCCUGGCCCGCGGUGGGUCCGGCGCCCCGCUCUGCUGCCGGCUCCCCGCCCAGGCAGGGGCCUUUGCGGUCGCUGUUCCGCCCGCCCCCCGCAGCAGCAGGUGCAGAGGUGCAGAGGUGCAGAGGUGCAGAGGGGCCGCCUGCUGGGGCCUGCUGCCGGGCGGCAGGGAGGGGCCUCGGAGGAGUCCCAAGUUCAAGCCCCGGCCCCCCAGCUACUGCACAGCCUCCGCCGCUCUCCCUGGCCUCUACAGGAGGCGCCGCUGGAGAGCUGGUUAAGGUCAUCGUGAGAAUUGAGGCAGGCGGGAAAGGCCCCCGGGCCUCUCUCAACCACGCACCGCCCUGCCCUCAGACCCCGCGGUGGGCGUGGUGCCCACCUGGAUCCGCACCUGACUCCGCCUCCACAGGCUCGCUCUGCGGAGAGGCCCUCCUCCGCCUGGCCGGACCCCAGGCCUGCCCCCGGCUCAGCAGAGAGAAAGGACAGCGUGGGCCGGCGCCACCCUGCACACCUGCAGGGGUGGGGGCGCGCGUCGCAGUCAUCAGCCGGGAGCCUCCUGCUCGCUGGAUUUCCAGGUGUCGGAGGGCUGUCGCUUUGGCUAAACUCCCGGUUUCCACACCGCCCCCGCCCCCCCCCACCAUAGCUCCUGGCAUCUCCGCAGUCACCCCUGCCCCCACCAGGCCAGAGCAGGUCCAUGGCCAAGGACGCGUCCCGGGCACGUGGGUGAUGACAACCCCGGGCCACCAGCGUCCACGGGCCUUGAGGAGUCCAUGUCCUCUCCCCAGCCACCCCUUGUUUGCCCGGCGCCAGGGGCGCAGUGGGCUGCCCCGUGGGUGGCGCCGCAGUGGCGUGGGCGGCCGCGGACCUGGUGAUGUUUUCUGUGCACCUGUGCGGCUGUGGGGGAGCUGUGCGCCCAGAAGCUGGGCCCCCGCAGAGGCGUUCACGGGAGGAAGCCAGGGUCGGUGA
rnacentral:lncRNA from 1 species